rnacentral:lncRNA from 1 species
GAAAGACAGCCAGCGAGAAAGAGCGAGCCCGAGAGCGAGCGCAGGGAGCGACACCAUGCCCGGCUGGAAGAAGAAUAUCCCCAUCUGCUUGCAGGCAGAGGAGCAGGAGAGAGGAAGAAGAUUGCUGUCUGGUUUGAACUGGAAUUUCUCACUAUGUCCCACUGGAGGUAUGUCAUAGUCUGCUCUUCUCAC